CAAUUAACUGACUAACCCAUACAUCUUUGGAAUGUGGGAGGAAACCCAAGCGGUUACGGGAAGAAUUAUACAAAUUCCUUACAGACAGCAGCAGGAAUUGAACACUGACUGCUGGCACUGUAAUAGUUAUGUUAACUGCCACCCUACUGAGCCAUCCCAUCUCCAGUGAGAGGCAGGGCUAAAGCAGAGAGCAAGUAUCCUUCUCGCAGGGUCAAAAUGUUAAUACUCAACUGGAAUAUGCUGCCUGGGAUCACGGUGGAAGCAGAUAUAAAAUGUAUUUAAGAGGCUCUUGGAUGCGUGCAUGAAUAUGCAGAGAAGGUGAGGGGGGAUUAUGGACCAUGUGCAAGCAGAAAGGAUUAGAUGUCAUCAGCUUAAUUUAGUUCAGCACAGCUGUGCUGUACUGUUCUAUAUCCUAUGUAAGAUAUCCCGGCUGACAGGAUUUGAACCGAUGCUCCUGGAUGAGAACUCUGGUUUCUACCCCAGAGACUUAACCACAUCAUUAGAUCAUUGGCCAGAGCAGUUAGGGAGUGUGGCAGUGCAGAACAGAAGUAUUAUGUUACUGGACUAACAAUUUAGAGUUCAAAUUGCAGGAUCAUUAAUCAGAGGUUUAAGAGUCCAGAAAAAAUAAACUGAUAGUAAUUACAGAUUCUUCCAAUAUCACAACUGCUUCAUAAACAUACUGGAUUUGGGAGCUCGGGCCUGAUUUGGCCAGGGCAUGUAUGUAAACCCAGGCAAGGUCAGCAGUCAACUACCAUUCCACUUUCACUAAGGUUACUAGAAGAGCCUGCGUCCGUGUGUUUGUACCCAUGUCCGAGUGUGACUGUGAGCGAGGGUGUAUACAGUCCCUUGUCAUUCAGCCCAUCAUAGCUCAGAAAACAUCAAGCCAUUGCCCUCUGGAACUGAAGCCUCACCCAAGCCUGGCCAAGGUCACCCUGUCCAACUGCCACAUCCCAGUGACCAGCAGUCAGAGACACACAAGGGACGCUGGGACAUCAGCAGGUCAGAAGGGUUCCUGGAAGUCGCCCGCUUCUGGAGCUGACACACAGAUGGUGGUGCGGGCGAGAUAGACCCACUUGAGCCUUAUCAGGCUGCUCUUCUCAAGGCAUUGCUUGAGGCAAAACCUCCACCCUAACCACAUCAAGUCCGCCUGCUCAUAACAUGCCAGCCUCUCCCCACAUCUAUCCUUAUCAGUACCAAGCAAGCCGUGGGACACUGAGUGAAUAGCUAAUUAGAGAACCCUCUUUUGGGGUAUGCAAAUGAAGCCAGCCCAUAAUAAGGAUGUACCAGAGAGAGAGGUGUGAAUGUGCAAGAAGGCGAAUGUGUGAGAAGGCAAGAGAGAGAGAGAGAAUGAGAGAGUGCAUGUGACAGAGAGUGAGAGACAGAGAGAGACUGGGGAAGGGUUUGGAUUGGAGGGGGGGAGGUGGAGAAAUGGAGAGAAAGCAAGAAGGACCAAAGAAAUAAGAAGUCAAGUCUGCGGCGCUCUCAAUCCUGAGGCACCGGUCAGUGGUAAAACCAGAGUGUGGGAGCCACAAAGCCUGCAUUGGGAGAGGGCGUCAUUUCUCAGGAGAUGGAGAGUGAGAAAGAAACGGGCCAAUUAAAAGCAGGAGACUUCUCUUCCUGAUAUGAACCCCAACUCUCCCAGCGGCUAAAAGCAGGGUGAAGUCAGUUAAACCCCAGAGUGGCGAACAGUGAGGAACACAGCUCAGAGACCUGAGACGUCAACACCGGCUACAAAGCAAAGGGUGGUCACGAUCAGAGCAACCGUCUUCUCAAAGCUUCCUUCACUCCAGGGAAAACAGAUCCAGUCAAUCGAAUCUCCCUUGAUAACUCAAGACCUCCAGUAUGCACGGGACUUAUCGCUGGACUCUGAGGGGGUGUCGGUUAAACCGUUACCAUUACUUGUCUAAGUACUGGUAAGGGUUAUACCGCUGCUCCCAGACUCUUCUCAGCAGCUGGAAGGUGAAGAGACAACAAAGCACAAGGACCCAGCGGAAGCAAUGACAAACUGUGAAUUUCUAUUAGUUUGUGACUUCAACCGAAAUAAAAUAAAAACUGCAGGAAUAAUGGAAGUGGAUAUACAAGUGAUAAAAAGAUACCACGUGGAACGGGCCCUUCCGGCACAACGAGCUGCGCCACCCAGCAACCCACCUGGCCGAAUCGCUGGACAAUGUACAAUGACC